UACAGAGGUCUCAAGCGUUGUUCGGAUUCAUUGGGCGUAAAGGGUGCGUAGGUGGCGGGGUAAGUCAGGUGUGAAAUCUCGGAGCUCAACUCAGAAACUGCACUUGAUACUGCCUUGCUCGAGUACUGGAGAGGAGAUUGGAAUUUACGGUGUAGCAGUGAAAUGCGUAGAUAUCGUAAGGAAGACCAGUGGCGAAGGCGAAUCUCUGGACAGUUACUGACACUGAGGCACGAAGGCCAGGGGAGCAAACAGG
rnacentral:rRNA from 1 species